AUCCUAAGUAACCUAUAAACCCAUUUCAUAAAGACAUAAAGACUAUUCCAUAAGAUUACCCUAAUCCUAAGUAACCUAUAAUCCCAUCAUUUAUCCAGUUCCCACUUGUACAAGUAUCUUAAAGCCUGUCUUAAUGAGCAAAAUUUCUUUUCUUGUAAGUUAGUCAUUUCCUAAACAUUAGAAUGAUCUUGAUCCCACCUAAUUUGCUAUAUCUCAGCGCAAUUCGCAACGAAGGAGGCUGAUGGAGGCUAAGAAUCUACGAAUUUUAAGUUUGAGCUCAUAAUCCUCACUCUGUCCUAUAGAAUGUAACUCCAAACAGUUUGUGAAUAUUAACAAAAUUCAACUCCAACUGCUGAAUGGAUUCUUUGCAGUUUAAACACAGAUCAUAUUUGAUAAUACAAACGUAAAAAGUCAAAGUUAUGUGGCGAGCCAAGAAAAUUUAAACAGAGAGUUGGAACAUUUAUACGUUAUCAUAACGUGUGCACGGAUAGACCAAACAAUUGAUAAAAGACUAUUCCAUAGUUGAAUUUGCUACUGCAAGUUGUUUUCAAAAUUAGUAUAUUGAAUCUGUGCAUUACCUAUAUACAGAGAGAGGUUAGUUAAUUAAAAGUACGUAAUCAUCAACCAUGGCCAAGAUCAGUAUGAUCCUCAUUUUCAUCUUAUUUGUCUUGAUUGCGAUGCCAACCUGCUCUUCUUCGACCGAAGUGAUACUCAAGGGGGAUUAUAAAGUAGUAGAUGUCUGCCCGGAUAUGGAAGACCUUGCUUGCAUUCAGUUCCAAGAAUGCACAGAACAACAGGUUGUGCUUGAAUGCCCAAGUGGUUCUUACCAGAUGUUUCAUCCGUCCUGCGGUGGUUGCCCAAGAUGCUGUACUGUUUAAAUUACCUAUCGGACACUGAUAGUACUGAUUCAUACGCUUAUACGUCUAUGUUAUGUAUACCCUUGUAAUUCUUGUGUGUGGAUGGUAUUUUGUGUACAUUUGUCCUCUUAAUCAUGCAGCUGCUUAUUGUAUCAAAUAUUUAUGUAUCAAUGUUUGUCAUCUUUUUCAUAAAUUUAAUAAAAAUCAUGUUGAAUAAUAA